rnacentral:rRNA from 1 species
AAGCCAUGCAUGUCUCAGUGCAAGCCGUCUAGUACGGUGAAACCGCGAAAGGCUCAUUAAAUCAGUUAUGGUUCCUUAGAUCGUACCCACGUUACUUGGAUAACUGUGGUAAUUCUAGAGCUAAUACAUGCCGACAGAGUUCCGACCAACUGUACAGAUGUGCGUCGGCCUCGGUCGUCGUCGCUGUACGGUUCGGAAGGAACGCUUUUAUUAGAUCAAAACCGGCCAGACGGUGGUUUCGCGUUCGCGCGCGUCUCCAUUCGUAAGCGGCCCGCGCAAAGACUUGGUGACUCUGAAUAACUUCGAGCUGAUCGCACGGUCCUAGUACCGGCGACGUAUCUUUCAAAUGUCUGCCUUAUCAACUGUCGACGGUAGGUUCGACGCCUACCGUGGUGGUAACGGGUAACGGGGAAUCAGGGUUCGAUUCCGGAGAGGGAGCCUGAGAAACGGCUACCACAUCCAAGGAAGGCAGCAGGCGCGCAAAUUACCCACUCCCAGCUCGGGGAGG